rnacentral:rRNA from 1 species
AAUCCCACGGCUCAACCGUGGAACUGCGAUGUGAACUGCUGGUCUUGAGGCAGGUAGGGGUCAGUAGAACCAUGGGUGGAACGGUGAAAUGUGUAGAUAUCCAUGGGAACGCCAAUGGCGAAGGCAGCUGACUGGGCCUGUCCUGACGCUCAGGCACGAAAGCGUGGGGAGCGAACGGGAUUAGAUACCCCGGUAGUCCACGCCGUAAACGAUGUGUACUAGAUCGAGGUGGUGUUCACGCCUUCUCGGUCGAAGAAAAAUCGUUAAGUACACCGCCUGGGGAGUACGGUCGCAAGGCUAAAACUCAAAGGAAUUGACGGGGGCUCACACAAGCGGUGGAGCAUGUGGCUUAAUUCGAAGCAACGCGAAGAACCUUAUCCAGGGCUUGACAUGCACGGAUUAGUGAAUCGAAAGAUGAUCGACGCCCUUUGGGUGGAACGUGCACAGGUGCUGCAUGGCUGUCGUCAGCUCGUGCUGUGAAGUGUCGGGUUAAGUCCCUUAACGAGCGAAACCCCUAUCGUUAGUUGCCAGCGAGUCAUGUCGGGGACUCUAACGAGACUGCCGGUGUCAAACCGGAGGAAGGUGGGGAUGACGUCAAGUCCUCAUGGCCCUUAUGUCCAGGGCUACACACGUCCUACAAUGGCGUCUACAAUGGGCAGCGAACCCGCGAGGGCAAGCGAAUCUCAAAAAGGACGUCUCAGUUCGGAUUGCAGUCUGCAACUCGACUGCAUGAAGUCGGAAUCGCUAGUAAUCGCACAACAGCAUGGUGCGGUGAAUACGUUCCCGGGCCUUGUACACACCGCCCGUCACACCAUGGAAGUUGACAUCGGCAGAAGACGUUGGGCCAACCCGCAAGGGAGGCAGGCGUCCAAGCUGGUGUCGAUGACUGGGGUGAAGUCGUAACAAGGUAGCCGUAGGAGAACCUGCGGCUG